CAGAGUAUAGCUAAGAUAGAAAAGCAUCUCCCUUACACCGAGAAGUCAUCUGUGCAAAUCAGAUUACCCUGA
rnacentral:tRNA from 1 species